rnacentral:rRNA from 1 species
GACAGAGGGUGCAAACGUUGUUCGGAAUUACUGGGCGUAAAGCGCGCGUAGGCGGCUUUGCAAGUCGGGUGUGAAAUCCCCAGGCUUAACCUGGGGAACUGCAUUCGAGACUGCAUUGCUAGAGUAUGGGAGAGGGAAGUGGAAUUUCCGGGUGUAGCGGUGAAAUGCGUAGAUAUCGGAAGGAACAUCAGUGGCGAAAGCGACUUCCUGGACCAAUACUGACGCUCAUGUGCGAAAGCGUGGGGGAGCAAACAGG